GUGUGUCUAGUUUGUAUGCUUACCCCCUGCAUGGGCUUUCUAGACCGGCCUUGGUAAAUUUAGAGGUUUUUUUAGAAACUCUAAGUUUACCUAGGUUGGUGUUUUAGGUGCCAAAAUUCAUUCUAAGAAAAAUUACAAAUAAAUUUCCUAUGCUAAUUUUGACAAGAAAUUAAAGUCUACUCUACACUAGAGUUUAUGGCAUUUGAACAUGUAAAAGAACGUCUUCUUGGAUCCUCUUGGCCAUAACUCUAGGGUUGGCCCAAUUCUACCCUUUGGUGGGCUUGCAUGUGGGCUUGUGCUUGGGCCUCUUCCAUCAUCCCCUCCCUCUUGAAAAGGAUUUGUCCUCAAAUCCAAUGCUUCUUCUUCUUCAAUGUUAGGGGGAUGAAUGUGGUUGGAUGGUGUCCAUCAUCUCCUCCUUCUUGAGAAGAUCUAUCCUCAGAUCUACAGGGUCGUUCUCGAAUAGCAGCCUCUUGCUUUGACAACUAUGCUCGUCCUCCCGAAUCAAACGUCCAUCUAUGGGAAUCAUCAAACAAAGCAAAUGAGUUAGUUUGAGCAGUUGUUUAAAAAUCAAUUGUAUGAAGUUGCCAUUCUUUUUAUUUUUCUAUUGGCAACUUUUUACGAUAUUUCUUUAGGGAGGAGUUCAUAUUUUUGUUUUCUUUCAAAAGCUCAAGAGUUUGAUCAACUCCAAAAAGACUUAUGAAUCCUCCUUCAUGUGACUCAUUCACAAGGAAUUUUCUAUGUGUUAUUUGGGGUAUGCAAAGUUUUUCUUCUUUAAAUACGUUCCCCUCAUAAACAUAAAACCCUCCAUGUGCUCUAUGUUGAUACUUAGCAAAAGUGGUUGCAAAAUCUUGAUAAAGUUUAGGUAUGUUAUCAAAUCCAAGAAUUUGGGCUCUAAGUUUUAAAAAUAAGGCAUGUUUCCUUGAUAGAGCGUCCACCACAAUAUUUGUUUUGUCCUUCUUGUAUUUGAUAACAUAUGGAACUUGCUCAAGAAAUCCCAUCCACUUUGCAUGUAUUUUUAACUUGUGUUGACUCUUUAAAGAUUUUAAAGACUCAUGCAGGGCCCUCACAAGUGUAUAGAGCUCUUUGUUAUAGAUGGGGUAGUUGAGGGUUGCACCAUGAAGUUUUUCAAUAAAAUAUGCAAUUGGGUGCCCACCUUGCAAAAACCCAACACCUAUUCCUACUCCCAAUGCAUCACACUCUAGCUCAAAAGUUUUUACAAAGUUUGGUAAAGCUAGAAUAGGUGCAUUGGUGAGUUGAGCUUUCAACCUUUGAAAGGCUUGCUCAUGCUUCUCCAUCCAACAAAAUCGAGUGUCUUUCUUCACUAACUCAUUGAGUGGUGAAGCUAGACUUGAGAAGUUAGGAUCAAUUCUCCUAUAAUAACUUGCUAGACCAUGACAACUCCUAACAUCUCCUACAUUUUUUUGUGUUGGCCAUUCUUGGAUGGCUUUGAUUUUCUCGGGGUCAACAUGUUCCCCGUUUUUGUUAGCUAUAAAACCCAAAGACACUACACUAUCAACAUAGAAGGUACAUUUAUCAAUAUUAGCAAACAAACUAUUAGUCCUAAACAUUAAGAAAACUUUCCUAAGGUGGCUUAGGUAAUCAUAAACUACUAUAUAUUUACCUAGGCACUCCUCUUUUAAGGGUUCUUUUUUGACUAUAUUUGUAAGGGAUGUUGUAAGAUAUUCCUUAUUCUUUCUAGAUUCACACAAUCCCUCACUUGGCUUUUCUAUUUCUAUCAUCACCUUUUUUCUCUUUUCUUUCUCUUCUCUAGCUUUCCUUUCGUCUUCCUCUUUUGAUCUUUUCUCUUGCAUCUUUCUUUCCUUCCUUACUUUAUGGGAAGCAAACAAUUGUUCUACCCUCAUUUCCCAAUUUAGGCAAGCUUCUAUAUUUUCUUUCCCAUGGAAAUGGGGUAGGUCUACCCUAACCUCUCUUGGGCUUUCUUGCUCUAUCCUUCUAUUCCUUCUAGGGGGUGGUUGAUAAUAUUCAUUUAUUCUAAGACUUUCCUCCCCAAGAUAAUCAUGAUUUUUAGAGCUAGAUGCAUGAGAAUGUAUUUUUUUUUAUUUUUGAGAAUUCUCAUCCUUUGCUUUAGUCAAUACUUUAGUUUUGGCCUCAUUCUCCAAUUGUUGAUAUGAAAUUAAUUGAACAUCCUUGGAAAGUUGUUUUAAAAGAGAUUUCAAGGAUUUCACAUCACUUUUAAGAGAUUUAGAGGAGUGAGAAGACAUGACUAAAACUUUGUGUAUAGAAAUGCUUUACAUUAAGAAAGAUGAGGAAAGCUAAUGAAGGUAGUUUUCCAGGUAAGAGAGGUGAGUCACAAUGGACUACUUAAAUACCAAGUCUUGCCUUAGCCAAAAACUAUCCCUCAAAAUCUUCACACAAAUCUUUCUUUAGGUAAAUCACUUAAAACACAAUGAGGAUGGGAAAAUCAAAUUUUAUGCAACAAAAACAAUGCAAGCUAUCUCUAACAACUAAAGCAAUUUAUCAAAGCUUUAAACAAGGUUAAGCAAAAGAAAUUAAGCGAAACUAAACAAAAGCAAUUGGCGUAGGUUAAAGCAAUUAACAAAGGCUAAACUAGAAAGCUUAAACUAAUCGUUCCUAGGUGAGGCUUCUUAGACACUUUGAGCCUUUGAAGACACACUUACCGCCUAAUUGCGUGAUUGAUCCACUAAUUAAAAAGAGUGAAAUGUAAUUACAAUUCAAGAAAUGCAAAGAAAUUAAAUUGCACAAAUGAAAGUUCAGCAAGGCACUCUUUUGACUUGUUGUUACUCUUCUUGGUUGUGCCCUUCAAGGUGUAUGGUGUAUUUUGGUUUUGUGUUUGUUGCUGCCCCUUGCCUUGAUCCUCUUUGAAUUAGGGAAUUAAAUUCUUCAAUACAGUACCUAUUAAGUAAAGCUAGACUCUCCUCAAGUCAAAUCCCACUCAACAAGCACCAAUUGAUAUUUAUCCACCGACAAUUUUAGAGGUCAAGAAAAGAAAGCAAGAAACAAUUAAAAUUUAAAAACAGCACCACUACAAUUGGAUUUAAUAAUGUGACACAACUAGAAGGAGUUCAGAAUGAAUUGGACAAGCAAAUAAAAAUAGGCACUCAAAUAAUGGAUGGCACACAAAAGGAACCUAAAGAUUGGCACUAGAAUUGAUUUAAAAACCGAAACAGCACCACUGAAAAUGUUGUGGUCCAGAAAGCGUGACUUAAAUGAUUUAUGUUGAGCUGGCUAUUUUGUAUUUGUUUCUGAAAAUUUAAACACAAUCAAUUCAUUUUCUCAACAAAAUUUUGGGCUUUGGUUUCACUCCAAUCACAUGUGCCAAUUAAUUAUGAUAAUUUUUCCAAAAACAGUGUCCAAUUAUCGUCAGGUAUAGUGCCAGAAUGCACACUUCUUUUGUAUGAUUUAUCUUUUUUUUCUAUUUCGUUUUUUCAACUUAUUCUUUUUUUUUUCUUUUUGUGAUAACACCUAAAAAUAUUGAAAUCCAGAGGCUCAUAAUUUUCUUGUGACGUAUUUAAUUUUCAUAAAGCAAAACAGCCAAAACAGAUUUGUGAAAACAGAGGAUUCUGAAAUCUGAAAUCAAAACAGAAAGAUAUACUUCAAAAACACAAUGAAAUAAAUGUGAUGGAAUUUGUGUGGAUCUAGCACAAAAAUAUGAACUCAAACUAAAAAUAAAAAUGCACCAAAGGAUCAAAUCAAAACACAAUUCAGAUUAAGCACUCAACUCAAAACAAGAAACAAAUAAAUCAAGAAAAGUACUACUAAGAUUUGUUGACAAUUUUUGGAAUCACAUGACUUGACAAAACUUAUAGAUUCAGAAAAUAAAAUGACUCAAACAUAUUAAUAUGAACCGAAUAGAAUUUCAAUCAAGACUCAAGCAACCUAAAAAAUCAAAAACAGCAACACAAUGUAUCAAGAAUCCUACACAAAAUUGAAAUAAGAUGCUCAAGCACAAUUUGAACAAAAACUACCGAUUGAAAUGAAUAGAGAAGAAUUCAAAUCAUAUUAAAAACAUAAAACAAAAAGACAAGAUGAACACAAGAUAAACAAGCUGGAAAUAAGAAGAACUCAAGCAAAAAAAUGAAAAGAGAUACUUAUCUCUUGAAGACCAUAGCUCUAGAUACCAAAUAAUAGCAUUGAGCUCUUCUCUUUUGUGAAUUUUGGGUGGUUUGCGGAAGCUUAGUGGUUUGUUGAUGGAACAAGGCCUUCCUAGGAAGUGUGGGUGCCUUGAAGGUGCAUGAAGAGUGUGAGAUUAGGGAGGUUCGGCCAGCCCCUUUGAAGGUGUAAGGAUUAAAGACUAAAACCUAGAUUCUAGGCAAGGAGUAAGGUAUGGCUCAAGUUUGGCAGCAUAACAAUACUCAAUUUAAUCUUACAAAAUGAGAGCCAAGCACCUCAAUUUAUAGUGUUUAGAGGGCUGGAAAUUCAAAAGAAAGUGGAGGGAAAUUCAAAUGAAUUCCCUCCCAAAAGUGGAGCCUAAAUGAGCACAUGGGGAGGGGUGUGUCUAGUUUGAAUGCUUACCCCCUCCAUGGGCUUUCUAGACCGGCCUUGGUAAAUUUAGAGGUUGUUUUAGAAACUCUAACUUUACCUAGGUUGGUGUUUUAGGUGCCAAAAUUAAUUCUAAGAAAAAUUACAAAUAAAGUUCCUAUGCUAAUUUUGACAAGAAAUUAAAGUCUACUCUACACUAGAGUUUAUGGCAUUUGAACAUGUAAAAGAACGUCUUCUUGGAUCCUCUUGGCCAUAACUCUAGGGUUGGCCCAAUUCUAC
rnacentral:lncRNA from 1 species